CACGCCAAGGUCUGCUUUUAUCCCAGCUGCCGGCUGUGGAGGAGGGGAAAGUGUAAAACCAGCCAGCACAAAGUCGGUUAUGGUUCUGUGAGGGCCAGGGAGCAGUGUGCAUGGCUCUGUCCGCUAGGGUACCAGAAUUUUGCCCUAUUACCGAAGUCCAGGGAACUCAAGUAGUCCUGAAGCAUCAUACAGAGUGACAAUGUUCAUCUGCGGUGUCAACGCUGCCGGCAGAGUCAGGAUGUUGCUGAGUGCCCGGCCCCAGACCCGACAAGGAGAUGCACGGAAGCCUGCAAUGGCCAUUUGUGCCGAACUCAUCGGAGGCCACCAAGGCCCAGCCCAGGCCUGACUCUCGGCACUUCUGGAAGAUUGAAAAGCCUCCAUCAGCCUCUCUCAUCACAGAGCCUGCCUCUGCUCCUCACUGGCCCUAUUUCCACCUGGAUGGCAUAAUGUAUGCCAGGAAAGCAGGCUCCUACUCUCUGAUGAGUUCUACAAAAAUAAACACAGAAGACUUCCUGAAACACACACAGCUGCCAGGGAAAACUGACUACCCAAGUCAUGGGGCCCAGAGCAAAAGGAAAAGGUGCUGCUCACAAAAGGGCGAUUCCAGCUGGCUUUUCCAUCUUGCCGAAGGUGAAUUAAAGAGAAGAUGGAUCUCUCUCCACUCAGCCCAUGCUAUGGAAAUCCCCACUGUUGGUGGUGGGAUAUAAAUGGUUACAGGGAGCCGGCUGCAUGCAUGUGUUACUUCACAGCGGUUUCUGGAAAUUGCACUACUGGCUGUUGCCCAUGACACUUGCUCACCCCCUGGGAAGUUGGUCAUAGAGUUGAUGUCCUCUGAUCACCAGGCUGUAUUCUGGGAGCUUCUAGCUCUGCCUGCA
rnacentral:lncRNA from 1 species